UACGGGGGGGGGCAAGCGUUGUUCGGAAUUACUGGGCGUAAAGGGCGCGUAGGCGGCCUACUAAGUCGGACGUGAAAUCCCUCGGCUCAACCGGGGAACUGCGUCCGAUACUGGUGGGCUUGAAUCCGGGAGAGGGAUGUGGAAUUCCAGGUGUAGCGGUGAAAUGCGUAGAUAUCUGGAGGAACACCGGUGGCGAAGGCGGCAUCCUGGACCGGUAUUGACGCUGAGGCAGAA
rnacentral:rRNA from 1 species